GGAGGUAAAAGUCGUAACAAGGUUUCCGUAGGUGAACCUGCGGAAGGAUCAUUAAAAAUGAAGCCGGGAAACCGGUCCUUCUAACCCUUGAUUAUCUUAAUUUGUUGCUUUGGUGGGCCGCGCAAGCACCGGCUUCGGCUGGAUCGUGCCCGCCAGAGGACACAACUCUGUAUCAGAUGUCGUCUGAGUACUAUAAAAUAGUUAAAACUUUCAACAACGGAUCUCUUGGUUCUG
rnacentral:misc_RNA from 1 species